GCCUUCAUGGUCUAGUUGGUCAUGACGUGGGUCUCAUAGUAUCAAAGCCUUGACUGUCAAGAUGACAGAGUUAUCCCGAGGUCGCCAGUUCGAUCCUGGCUGAGGGCA